rnacentral:rRNA from 1 species
GACGUAGGGGGCCAGCGUUGUUCGGAAUUACUGGGUGUAAAGGGUUCGUAGGCGGUGCGGCAAGUUGGGAGUGAAAUCAUCUGGGCUUAACCCAGAGGCUGCUUCCAAAACUGCUGUGCUUGAGUGUGGGAGAGGCGCGUGGAAUUGCAGGUGUAGCGGUGAAAUGCGUAGAUAUCUGCAGGAACACCGGUGGCGAAGGCGGCAUCCUGGACCAACACUGACACUGAGGAGCGAAGCCAGGGGAGCAAACGGG